AGAGACAGCAGUCGCCGGGGAAAACAGAGGGUGCAAGCGUUAAUCGGAAUUACUGGGCGUAAAGCGCGCGUAGGUGGUUUGUUAAGUUGGAUGUGAAAGCCCCGGGCUCAACCUGGGAACUGCAUCCAAAACUGGCAAGCUAGAGUACGGUAGAGGGUGGUGGAAUUUCCUGUGUAGCGGUGAAAUGCGUAGAUAUAGGAAGGAACACCAGUGGCGAAGGCGACCACCUGGACUGAUACUGACACUGAGGUGCGAAAGCGUGGGGAGCAAACAGGAUUAGAUACCCCCGUAGUCCCUGUCUCUUAUACA
rnacentral:rRNA from 1 species